CUUAAAUUGAAGAGUUUGAUCAUGGCUCAGAUUGAACGCUGGCGGCAGGCCUAACACAUGCAAGUCGAGCGGUAGCACAGAAGAGCUUGCUCUUUGGGUGACGAGCGGCGGACGGGUGAGUAAUGUCUGGGAAACUGCCUGAUGGAGGGGGAUAACUACUGGAAACGGUAGCUAAUACCGCAUAACCUCGCAAGAGCAAAGAGGGGGACCUUCGGGCCUCUCGCCAUCAGAUGUGCCCAGAUGGGAUUAGCUAGUAGGUGAGGUAAUGGCUCACCUAGGCGACGAUCCCUAGCUGGUCUGAGAGGAUGACCAGCCACACUGGAACUGAGACACGGUCCAGACUCCUACGGGAGGCAGCAGUGGGGAAUAUUGCACAAUGGGCGCAAGCCUGAUGCAGCCAUGCCGCGUGUGUGAAGAAGGCCUUCGGGUUGUAAAGCACUUUCAGCGGGGAGGAAGGCGGUGAGGUUAAUAACCUCAUCGAUUGACGUUACCCGCAGAAGAAGCACCGGCUAACUCCGUGCCAGCAGCCGCGGUAAUACGGAGGGUGCAAGCGUUAAUCGGAAUGACUGGGCGUAAAGCGCACGCAGGCGGUCUGUUAAGUUGGAUGUGAAAUCCCCGGGCUUAACCUGGGAACUGCAUUCAAAACUGACAGGCUAGAGUCUUGUAGAGGGGGGUAGAAUUCCAGGUGUAGCGGUGAAAUGCGUAGAGAUCUGGAGGAAUACCGGUGGCGAAGGCGGCCCCCUGGACAAAGACUGACGCUCAGGUGCGAAAGCGUGGGGAGCAAACAGGAUUAGAUACCCUGGUAGUCCACGCUGUAAACGAUGUCGAUUUGGAGGUUGUGCCCUUGAGGCGUGGCUUCCGGAGCUAACGCGUUAAAUCGACCGCCUGGGGAGUACGGCCGCAAGGUUAAAACUCAAAUGAAUUGACGGGGGCCCGCACAAGCGGUGGAGCAUGUGGUUUAAUUCGAUGCAACGCGAAGAACCUUACCUACUCUUGACAUCCACAGAAUUCGGCAGAGAUGCCUUAGUGCCUUCGGGAACUGUGAGACAGGUGCUGCAUGGCUGUCGUCAGCUCGUGUUGUGAAAUGUUGGGUUAAGUCCCGCAACGAGCGCAACCCUUAUCCUUUGUUGCCAGCGAUUCGGUCGGGAACUCAAAGGAGACUGCCGGUGAUAAACCGGAGGAAGGUGGGGAUGACGUCAAGUCAUCAUGGCCCUUACGAGUAGGGCUACACACGUGCUACAAUGGCGUAUACAAAGAGAAGCGACCUCGCGAGAGCAAGCGGACCUCAUAAAGUACGUCGUAGUCCGGAUUGGAGUCUGCAACUCGACUCCAUGAAGUCGGAAUCGCUAGUAAUCGUAGAUCAGAAUGCUACGGUGAAUACGUUCCCGGGCCUUGUACACACCGCCCGUCACACCAUGGGAGUGGGUUGCAAAAGAAGUAGGUAGCUUAACCUUCGGGAGGGCGCUUACCACUUUGUGAUUCAUGACUGGGGUGAAGUCGUAACAAGGUAACCGUAGGGGAACCUGCGGUUGGAUCACCUCCUUACCAAGAAG
rnacentral:rRNA from 2 species